UCCAGUCCAAAUAUGGCUGAGGCAUUUCGGGUUUGGGUGUAUUAAUUGGGAGCGAGCGGAGGCAUCGCCGCCUAUCCUCAGAGGAUAAACACUGCUGAUGUUGAGCCCAAAAUGUUCACAGCGGUUGCCCGAGGCGGCGAAUCUCAUCCGAGAUGCUUUAGUGAACAACGUGUGUGCUGCUUCAGCUGGGCCAGACUUUGAAGAGGCCUUGGAGGGCCAGUGGCCCGGUCGCCCAGAUUUAUGUUUCUUUAUCUCUAACUUUUCUCAAAUAAUUGAAUGGAGGAUUUCACAACCAAGAUAUCAGUGGCGUAGUCUGUAACUUUUGUAGAAAAGCCUUCCUGGGACUGACUAGUGGCACAACCUCUGUCGGGGUGGAAAGUCCAUCCAAGCAGGAAGACUUUUUUGUAAGUCAAAAGGCACUU